rnacentral:rRNA from 1 species
AGUGAACGCUGGCGGCAGGCCUAACACAUGCAAGUCGAACGGCAGCGGGUCGUAGCAAUACGAUGCCGGCGAGUGGCGGACGGGUGAGGAAUACAUCGGAAUCUACCUUGUCGUGGGGGAUAACGUAGGGAAACUUACGCUAAUACCGCAUACGAACCAUGGUUGAAAGCGGCGGACCGCAAGGCGUCGCGCGAUUGGAUGAGCCGAUGUCCGAUUAGCUAGUUGGCGGGGUAAAGGCCCACCAAGGCGACGAUCGGUAGCUGGUCUGAGAGGAUGAUCAGCCACACUGGAACUGAGACACGGUCCAGACUCCUACGGGAGGCUG